rnacentral:lncRNA from 1 species
AAGCUUUGCCAAAUGAACUUUCCCCUUUUAUCAUACAGCACAAGGUUGCCAUUGGGCAACAGUUUAAUGCCCGUGACGCCCUUGUUAGCAGUAUUGGUCUGCCACGCGACAGUGCCAUCAACGUCCGCGAGGACUAAGUUUCCAUCGCGGCCGAAGGAAAGAGUGGCAUUUUCUUUAACGGGGUGGUUGCGGUUGGCAUCCCAAACCCAGCGCAUUAGGUCUUCGUCGCGUGGGAGGCCGGCACGCAUGCCCAAGAUGAAUUCCCCUGGGGUGGUGUUGUAGAAACAUAGACUGAAUGGGAAUGCAAAGAAGUCGUUGGAAAUAACACGAUACCCUGCAUCGUAUUCGGUUAUGUAAUCUCCGAAUUCACCUUCGUUUAUGAUCUUGAAGGUUGCAUUAGCUGGCACUUGAGCUACAGUGCUAGCAGUGAAGAAGUAAAGAAUGAGAAGACUGCUUAAGCAGACUGAAAAUGAAAAGCUCCAAGAAGUCAUUUUGGGAUUCUUUUUGUGUAUAUAAUGCCAAUGGAGAGGAAAAGAAAAGGAUUGAGAUUUGUGGGACAAAAGUAGUCCCAUGUUUUGGUAUUUAUAGUUCUUCUCCAAGAAGUUUCAACUUUAUCGGAACCUAUUGGCGCGUUGAAAAGUCAAAUUGAAGGAUAAGAUUUGAAUAGUCAAUGUUGACAACUGCCAAGCGCAAGCCAGAUCACUUAGUUCUAUUAUACAUCCUCUACAGUUGUUGUCCGUAGACUCUGUACCUCCAAAGUGUGUAGAACGACGAAAUUUCUUCCGCAGCCCUAGUCAACAUAGAUACGGGGAACUAAAAUCUGAGUAUUUAAUUAGUGUUCAAUCUAACCUUGGUCUCUUUCUAGCUGAAUAGCUUGCCCCUUUGGCAAUUAAAUAGGGUGGGAUUGUACAUUUUGUCAACUAAUUAAAUAUGGCCCAAAAAACUAAGUAAGCUCGUCCUUAUUAGCUCAACAAGUUUCUAGAGAUGUUGAUUAAGAGUAGGGCUGUAAUCGAGUCGAGUCGAGCUCGAGUAUCGCGAUACUCGAGCUCGACUCGACAUACAGAUAGGGUGCUCGAGCGAGUAGUAUUAUUGAAUCUCAAGCUCGAGCUCGAAGCUUGCUCGCAAUACUCGAGCUCGACUCGUAUGGGCUCGAGUCCAUUCGAGUCUUAUCGAGCUCGAGUUAUUAAAUUUCAUUUUUUUGAUAAUUUUUGAGCGAAAAGACAUUAUUACCCUUUUAAAAUUUUUAUAUGAUUUGAAACAUUUCGUAAAUUCGAUAAUUCUUUUGGGUAUAAGGGUAAUUUUAUAAUAAUAAUAUAUUAAAUAAUUAAAAUUAAAAUAUUAAAUAAUUAAAAUUAAAAAUAUUAAAUAAUUAAAAUUAAAAUACUCGAUAAGGCUCGUCGAGCCUUCGAGCAUCACUUCUGGAUGCUCGAACUCGACUCGAUAACCUUAUCGAGCUGCUCGAAACUCGACUCGAACUCGGUUUGACCGAGUUCGAGUCAAGCUCUUGACCGAGCUGCUCGCGAGCUUACAUCCCUAAUUAAGAGCAUACAUAUAUAUUUAAUUACGACCUUCUCUCUUCAAAUCUUAUGAUCUCAGGGGUUGCAAUGUAAAUAAAAAUCUAGACGUGCAUGAGAGAAAAUUCAAUUCUCAUAAUGUCGAGUUCUCUUGACAUCCUAUUGCAUUAAGGUCUCUUUUUUUUUGGUUCUUUUUGGAUGCAUUUCUUUUGGAAGUUUAAUAUAUACAUCAUCCCAUUAUGUUCCCAUUCCUAUAUGCUUUUCUAGCAAACCAACGUACAAAAACUGCAAUGCAUAGUCUAAAUGGACCACCAAUGAGCUGUAAUAUAACAAGGAAAGGAGGAAAUAUUGAUUGAGCCUUGAGCACAACAAUUCAGAUGAGGACCGGGUCGGGCAACCGUGAAUGGUCUUUGAGAUCAAUUACGAUGACGAUAAAGAAAUGGGAUAAUGCAUGCAUGGACUCUGACUCUGGCCUGUCCCACUUAUCCACACCCUUGUUUCUGCAUACAUGAUUGACGGUGGCUUCUCAACGAUACCCUACUUACUACUAUCUGAUAUCUGCAUCAAAUGAUGAUGCUUUGCCCCCAACCCAAAUUUUAUUUCCACAGCAAAUGAUGACAAAAUUUUCCCUUUGAAGUACAAGUUGCAUUUCGACUUGAGAAUGACAGAUUUGACGUCUUAGAGAAAAUUAUUGUAGAAAUAAGAAUUGGAGUGUGACAUUAACAGCGGCGAAUUUCUCAGAAUAAUAUUGGUGUACGAAAACAUCACAAAAUAGUGUUUUGCAGGAUUUGUGUGUGAAAUAAUAUCGGCGCACAAAAAAAUCAAUUUAUUUUUGAAAUUUUUUUCAACAGCUUAAGAAAUUUUUAAUUUAAGAUUUUUGGUUGAAUAUUUUAUUUUAACCGCAGAUGGAUCCAUUUGAUCAACGGCUGGAAAAUUGAUCUGCGGCGAUUUGAUUUUUUUUUUUUUUUUUUGGGAAACUGCACAACUAAUGUGCGGCGGUUUGAAAUUUUUAUUAUUAUUUUUUAUUUUGUUUUGGAAACCGAACGUCUGAUGUACGGCAAGGAAAUACGUACACAAGGCAAGGCUUUCAGGGCAAUGCAGUGUAAGAAAAAUCAACAAAUUCAUGAUUCUGAGAAAAACCAAACCGUCAAAGUAUAGGAAAGCAACGGCAAGCAAAAUUGUGUGCUGCGAAGGUCAUAGCCCAAGGUAAGGUAAUUGGUUGUUUGGCGUAGCGUGGAAUUGUGGGGGCCGGGAAAUGACAUAUGUAUUGUAUUGUUGGCCUUUUCCUCAUUUUCUUUGUCAAAGAAAAUUGUCAGCCAUUCCUCAACGAUGGAUGAAUAAAGAAGGAAAAUGUCAGCAUCAUAAAAAAAUAAAAUAAAAAGUCUCUGAUUAUUGCAUAUAUAUUAAAACUGUGAAAUUAAGGAGGAGUCCAGAAUAUAGCGCUGUAACAUUAAUUGGCAUCUGCUAAUUAAAUUAACGUCUUUAAAUCCCAUUAAAGCUCCACGCUCAGUACUUAAAAUAUCAAACGUCAAAAAGAUUUGAGGCAUUGCUGAAAACGUUAAUACAAUCUCGAUCGGAAGAGAGGAGCGCUUGGAAACUUUUUAAAGUUAAUUACAUCUGAUAAGCAUAUGGCCACAUUAGACGGGCGUGGUAGGCGGUACACGUCUUCAAAAUGUCUGAAAAGGAGGGUGUUAACUGUUAAGUAGUUAGGCCUGGCCAUGAAGAGUUAGAUGCUUGUCUUUUGGUUUUUUUUUUUUUUUGAAGAAUUGGUCCGAUACUAGGGAAAGGGGAAGGGGAAGGGGAAAGGAGCUACAAUUGGUUAGAUGCUUGUCAUUUUUUAGGAAUUAAAAAAAAAAUUAAAGGUUGGUUGCACCUUCAAUCAACCGCGAUCCCUUUCUUAAAAAAAAAAAAGGCUUCGUCGCAACCAAAAAAAAAAAAAAUCUCUCCAUUUACCUCCUCAGCAACAAAAGAAAAAAAGGAAAUUUAAAAUAAUGUUUUAAUGAAGUCUCUUUUAUCAUUUGCGGCGACUCUUAAACUAGAAAUCAAUCCCAACCAACAUCACUUUUGUGAUAUUUUCUUGUUUUCACAAUAUACUCAGAAAUUCGCCAAUUAACAACAUGUCAUAUUUUAUAUAUAUAUAUAUAUAUAUAAGUAUGAUAUAUAGUAACCUCGUGAAUUUGUAAAUACUUUUUUUUCCUUUUUUAUUAAAUUAUACUAAGAGAUAUGAAUGAUAGUAUAAAUUUCGAUUAUAAAAAUUAGACUUGGCCUUACUCCAUCAUUUGUAUUAAAGAAGAAGAAGAAGAAGAGAGACACAUCCCGAGUGCUGCUAUAUAGCAUCAAUCAUGAACGACUUUAAGUGGCGGCGGACGUGGAGGCCGGAGGGGUCAUAAUUGAUGCAUCAAAGUAUAGCAGGUACGCGCAUUGAAGCUCUCAUAAUGAACCAAACCAAGCUCUCUUCUAAGGCUGAAACCCAAAUCUGAUGUCCACAGUCUGAUGAGUUUGUCGGCUGCAAGUAAACAUGAAGUGAUAUUUGUGUAACCAGUGAUCAACAGGAAAUCAUUCAUUAUAAGCAUGAUUUUAAAUGUUAUUUUCCUUAAAUAAAAAUCGGCAACGCCAUUUUGCUGCAGCUCUAUUUGGGGGGACUAUCCAAGAAGGAGAACCUGUAUUUAUUGGAGAAAAUUUCCUGAAAGUUAUGUUUAGGAGAGGCUAGUGCACUUCACAGAAAACAAACUCCCAGAUUUUAGAGAAUUGCUCAGUAGAAAUGAACAAUAAUGUUUAUAAACAUGAAACGUAGGUUUCCAGAAAACUAUUAAUGCGAAGAAAAAAAAAGGUUUUUGACAACUUUAACGGAGAAAAACAGCAAUAUCAUAUCUUGGAAGAGCAUUGCAAUUUUAAUUAGAUUCGUAUAGAAAAGCAUUAUUGAUCCAGAAAAUAGAAUAUAAAUAAGGCAUACAAGUACACAUGCAUGCGUUCCGGUUUAAUCUAUCAGAAGGGCCCUCAAAAAAAAAAACAAAAUACUAGUCUGGGCAGCAUGAAUUUAUAGUAAAUACACCAUCCAAGUCUUACAAUCAAAGUAGAACACAAUACAAUAUUAACCAUGGCCACCACCAAUGCAUUACGGCUUGGUGGGGUGGCCAAUUUGUCACAAUUAAAUGUGGUCUUGUUUAAAAAAUCCAGGCGGGUGCGUAGUGCACCCAUCUGGUCUGGUAAUGGUUCAAUCCCCUCCGAAUUACCCCAAAACCUCUUCAGGCCCUUUCCUCCCCAUAGUGUAGGAAGCUAUCGUAUAGACAAAAAAAAAAAAAAAAAAAAAAACAAAGAACACGAUACAAUAUUGCAAAAGCUCAACAUGAAGCUUCUUUCUUCAGGCACAUAAAACUCCCAUAAAUCAUACUUCCUCUACAAAACCAUGCUAACAAUAAUUUAAACCAUGUUUUGACGUUUAAUAGAUUUUUCUUCUUUUUAAGGUAAAGUUUUUCAUAAACUCAAUAUUUGACGUAUGCACUAGUGGUGUUGACAUCUUUAACGAGAGUCAAAAGCACUGGCACAAGCAAACACUUUGAAGUAUCUUGCUUGUAGACAUAUCCUUUGCAAUUGCGAUCAUUGGUGCACUUGUCUCUGCCUAUGUUUUCAGAAUCGGACCGGAUAUCGACUCGCUCGAGCUCAGGGGUCAGGGGUCAAUGGGUUCAACCGGGUUCGAUAGGGGUUCAACCGGAUGACGUCAUAAAUAAAAUUUAUUUAAAAAUUAAAAUAUUAUAUGUAAAAUACUUAAUAACAUGUUAAUAUUAAUAAAGGUAUAUUCAUAUAUAUUUGAUGUUUCAAAUAUAUUUAAUAAGAAUAUACAAAUAAAUUAGAGCAAUCAAGUAGCAAUUUAUAUUAUUGAAUAAGCAUUAACAAGUUUAGAAUUAAAAUUAUGGAUUUAAUUGAAAAAUAACACCAAACUUUAAGACAACAUUUAUAAAGUAUGAAAUAUUUAAGAUAUGUUAAUAAUUUUUAACAACUUAAGGAUCAAAACAUCAUAUUAAAAAUAUUCUGCCCUUUCAAAAAAAAAAAAAAAAAAGAGACCGGGUUCAUUUUUCCGGUAGGUCAAACCCGGGAGUUGUUGAUUUCCCGGUUUUUAAGAUUAACUCGGACCGGUCAACUGGCCGGUUCCCGGUUCGACCGGUCGAACCGGCCGGUCCGGCCCGAGUUUGAAAACAGAGGUCUCUGCAUGCUCCAAAUUCCAUCACAACUUCUUGACUAUCCGGAGACCACUGGUGAUUCAAGAAAGAUUGCACCCCAUCGAGCUUGUAAUAUGUUGCCUUAGGUUUCUUCCCACACGAGCUCAACUUUGGUGGUUGACAGUUUUCUGUCCAUGCCAAGAGCCCUUUUGGUGUAGGACAUGCCACACACAUCCCAUUUUGGCACAAGCCAAAAUUACCACACUUUGAUGGCAAAGCACAUUUUUCUGUUUCAAAAUUAUGCUCCGAAAGAAAGUGUAGGUCUCCAUCCAUCUAUCAAAUCUGACUUUGUCAUAGUAGGUAUAAGCCUUCACAUUGCCAUCAGAUUCAAUCCUCAGAAAAGAGUAUGUUGCAUUGUAAUUUAUUGUACUGAGCUCUUGAGCUGCAUGGGUUUUCACAAAAGUCCAUUCCUAUUAAGUGGCAUAUCAUAUCCCUCGUCAUUGUGACUGUGGAAUCCUAACCAAAGAACUGCUUAAUAAUUCUAACAAUUUCUGACAGCCCCAACAAAGCUAUGUACCUAGGCCAUCUUUAAAUGGGCUUAGCGGGUUUUAGUUAAAUGGAUCCGCAGCCUCACAAGUUUCAUUUAAAUUCAUUUCGCAGUUUUUUUUUUUUUUUUUUGAUAAGCGGGAAGUUUCGAAAUUUCUCAUUUACAUUUUUUUUCUCCUACCACCAACCCAUCUCUUUCCCCCUCCAUGUUAGAGUAAAAUGGUCUUUUUAACUUGAGGUAUCCAACUUUGGUUUGAGGAAAGGAAAAUGAAUGGUUUAUAAACUUGGACUCAUUGGCUACUCAGUAAUUUAGAUUAACCAUUUUAGACUAGUGGAUUAAAGCCAAAAGUUACUUGAGCCGGUCCUUGAACUCUGGUCAUGACACAACUUUUGUUACACCAUAUUUUAAUUUAAUCACAUCAUAUAUGCAACUUAAUGUAGGUUUGCAAAAAAUUAUUAUAGGAAAUAACGUUUUUUAUCAACUUUAAUUGAGAAAAAUGAGAAUAUCAUGUGUAGGAAGAGCUGCAAUGCUCCAUUCGUAUAGAAAAGCAUUAUUGACCUAGAAAAUGUUAGAUAAGACAUAUAAGUAGACAUGCGUGCGUUCCGGUUUAAUCUAUCAAAAGGGCCCUCAUAGAAUAAGAAAAGAAAAGCAAAAUACCAAUCUGGGCUGCUUGGAUUUAUUGUAAAUACGAUACAAGUCUUACGAUCAAACCAGAAGAACCAUAAUUAAUACAAUAUUGCAGAAGCUCAACAAGAAGCUUCUUUAUUCAGUACAUAAAACUCUCAAAUCAUACUUAAUGCUAUGCUAACAAUUAUUCAAACCAAGUUUUAACUUUUAAGUGUUUUUUUUCCUUAAGUUAAGGCUUUCCAUAAAAUCAAUAUUUGACAUAUGCACUAGUGGUGUUGACGUCUUUGACGAGAGUCAAAAGCACCGGCAUAAGCAAGCACUUUGAACUAUCUUGCUUGUAGACAAAUCCUUUGCAAUUGCAAUCAUUGGUGCACUUGUCUCUACAUGCUUCAAAUUCCAUCACAACUUCUUGACUAUCCGGAGACCACUGGUGAUUCAAGAAAGAUUGCACCCCAUCGAGCUUGUAAUAUGUUGCCUUAGGUUUCUUCCCACACGAGCCCAACGUUGGUGGUUGACAAUUUUCUGUCCAUGCCAAGAGCCCUUUUGGUGUAGGACAUGCCACACACAUCCCAUUUUGGCACAAUCCAAAAUUACCACAUUUUGUUGGCAAAGCACAUUCUGUUGCCAAAUUACUUGGAAAGAAACUAUAGGUCUGCAUCCAUCUAUCAAAUCUGACUUUGUCAUUGUAAGUAUAAGCCUUGACAUUGCCAUCAGUUUCAAGCCUCAGAAAAGAGUACGUUGCAUUGUAAUUUAUUUUACUGAGUUGUUGAAUCCCAUCAACCUGUGGUUUUGGCGCUGGCGAUUCGAAUAUUUCAAAGAUAAGGUUCCAAGCUAUUGGAGUAGGCUCCCACGUCGAAGGUUGGGUGUUAAACCUUACAGUACUGCCAAAAUUCCCCGGCCAACCAUUGUAGCGAACUUGUUGGCCAGCGUUGUUUAGAUACAAGAGGAGGCCAUCAUCUCCAAGCACUAAGCUGUACUUUCCAUCGGAGCCAUCAACAUCAGAAGUUCGACUGACAAGCUUGUUUACGCCACUCUCGCGAAGGGACUGCCCAACUAGUAACGAAUCAACUGGAUAAUCAAAGCUUUGCCAAAUGAACUUUCCCUUUGUAUCAUACAGCACAAGGUUGCCAUUCUGGAGUAAUUUGAUGCCCGUGACACCCUUGUUAGCAGUGUUGGUUUGCCACACUAGGCUGCCGUCAGAGUCGGCUAGGACCAGGUUUCCAUCCCGGCCGAAAGAAAGGGUGGCGUUUUCUUUCACGGGGUGGUUGCGGUUGGCAUCCCAAACCCACCGCAUUAGGCCCUCGUCAUCUGGGAUGCCAACACGAAUGCCAAGCACGAAAGAAGCUGGGGUGGUGUUGUAGAAACACAGUCUGAAGGGGAAUGUGUAGAAAUCAUAGACAUCAUUGGUUAUGAUGCGAUAAGUUGCCCCAUAUUCAGCUGUGGGUACGAAAUUUUGGAAUUCUCCCAGUGGACCUGUGUUGACAAUUUUGAAGGUAUUGUUUGUUGGCACUUGAGCUCUGGUGCUAAUGGCCAAGAAACAGAGGAGGAGGAGAAUGCUAAGACAGGGUGAAAAUGGAAAGGUACGACGAGCCAUUGGAAUUCUUUUUGUGCAAUAAGGAAUAAAGGGCAAGCUAAUCAGUUGGAAAUGGAAUGAGAGAUAUGAAGUGGGUUGUAACCAUUUGGUAUUUAUAGAUUUUUUUUAUUGGCUUUUCUCAGGGAGUUGGUUUGUGGAUAGGAAAAUCAACUCGACGGUUUUUCUAGUUUUUCUGCAUACAAUUGUUGAAAUUUGAAAACUGAUUAAAAAAAUAUUGAAAUUUGAAAUUUGAAUUUCAACGUCAAAGUUGGUAACCUGCAAACAAGAUUGAGCAUCCAUCUAGUAACAUAGUAUUAUAUAAUUUUGUUCUAUGUCGUAGUGGUUGUCAAAUGAUUAUAUAAUGUACAACACAAUUUUUUAUAAGGGAAAACGAAACAAAUAAUCCCUUACAUAUUACUUAUUUAACCAUUCACUUACAUAAAAAUGCAAAUUCAUACUUUAAAUAUAUAAGGGAUAAUUUCAGAAACCUCCCCUGAGGUUUCUAAUAAUUUCACAAAGCUCCCCUUAAUAUUUCAAAAUUACACAUACCUCCCCUAUUGCUGUAAAAGUACUCUACUACCCCUAUAUAGGAUACUUAAUGACUUUUUCUUUUUGGAAAUUUCAGAAAUUUCAAGAAAAACUAAAAUUGACUUAUCUCUCUCUCUCUCUCUCUCUCUCUCUCUCUCUCUCUCUCUCUCUCUCUCUCUCUCUCUCUCUCUCUUUUCUACCUUAAUGUGUCUUCCAUUUCCUUUUUUGCUAAAUUCCUACCACUCAUUCCUCUCUACCUAAUAUUUUUCCUCCAAUUCAUGACCAAAUUCUAUCUAUUAUCCCUUGCCCAUAUUUAUCCCCCUCAUUGCCUUCUUCUUCUUCUUCUUCUAUCUCUAUUCAAUCUCUUUUUUGCAAAUAUGAUCAAGUUCAUCCUUUUUAUCCUUUUAAUUCUAAGUGUAAUGGGUUUGAUUUUUUUGAGUCUAUUUAUUUUAUCCAAUGUUGGUUGAUUAUGGGUGAUAAAACUUAGUGAUGUCAAAAGUCAAGAAUUUGAGGGAUGGAUGUGCUUUAGAAAUGGGUUGUUGAAAAAAAAAAGAGGCUGCAAAAAGAGAAAGACGAAAGAUCUGUGCUAUUGAUUGUGGAUGAAGUGUUAGUUUUGGGUAAAAGUUUGAGAUUGAGUUUUAUCCAAUUUAGCACCAAGUGACGGAUUUAAUUAAAUUGUGUAGUAAAUGUAGGGGUUGGGGUUAUUGGACAUAAAUUAGGUUAUAGUGUUUUGAGUGCUAGAAUUAUUGAAAUUUAUUUUGAUUUAAAUUGGGGUGUUUGCUUGGCUUUUGGGGUGGAGUUGUUUGGAAGAAGGCAAUCAUCAUAGUUGAAUUUUUUUCCUAACUUUUAUUUUUGGUAGAAAGAGUUUGUUGGCUUUGGUGUUGGAAGAAAAGCAAUCAACAAAGCUCUUUUAUUUUUCCUUUUUAUCUUUUUGACAAAAAGGAUAGUUUAGGAUAUUUGAAGGAAUUGGUAGCCUAUUGGACCUAUUUUGAAGCAUAAAUAGUGAAAGCAAGGGAGGUGUGUGUAAUUUUUGAAACCUAAGGGGAGCUUCUUGAAAUUGUUAGAGACCUCAAGGGAGGUUUCUGAAAUUAUCCCAAUAUAUAAAUUGCAUCAUGUUUGUCUGAAAAUUCAUUUUAGGAGAUUUUUUUUUUACCUGAAAACGCCAUGUGGCUACCAAAUGAUAAUAUUUCAAAGAUAAAAAAGACAUUACAUACUCAUGAUUUAUCCAUUUUUUUUCUUUUUUUUCCUCCUCUGUUUUUGCUUCACCAACAUUCAAACAGCAAAUCCUAGAUCCGCCACCAUAGUCCGCAAUUUCCAGAUAACAAACACUAUCAAAUAUUGUUUAAUAUCCAGAAAUCUCAGUUUUUAUUAUAGUGUCAUUUUUCUUUCACAAACAUCUUAUUCUACUUCUUUUUUAUUUCCUUAAGUUCCAAUAACUACUAACAUUGUAAAACACAAAUUUAAACAUACCAAAAAAAAAUAUCACUAAAAAAAUGAGAUUUUUAUGAAUUUUUUGUUGUACUUUUUGUUUUUCUAUUAUAUUAUACUUUUUUAAUAUGUUGAAUUUUGUGUUUUACCCUUUAGUAGUCAUUGAAACUUUAGGAAAUAAAAUAAAAUAUUUGUAAAGGAGGAAUGACAAAAUAAUUAAAGAUGUGACAUACGAUAAGAGAGGUAGGAUACAGUGGGUCAUAAUAUGCAAAAAAAUGGCAAGUAUUAAGCUACUAAAAAUAAAUGGUAGAAAGAGAAAGUCCACUUUUGGAAGUUUGAAGUCAAUAUAGCAGCUGAGUCGGAAAAAAAAAAAAAAAAAGUCAAUAUAGCAGCCUGUAGAUGUGCUGUAAUCCCCUUAGAACCGGGCUCCGUGUCGUCUUCACCCUUCACUAAUUAGCAACUUGGGCACAUUGCAGACAAAUCUUUCCUCUUUGCCUUUGGGGUUAGAAGAUGGGAAAACACGUCUGCUUCUUCUAUACUUCUGGGCUGUAACGCAGCAGCAUUUAGCAACUGUAAUGAAGUUAAUAAAGUUUAACAAAAGGAUAACAUCAAGGUUUUAGACAAAUUAUCCUAGAUUCAAACCUUCCAGUUGCCUUAACCAUAAAGGACUUUUACAUCUUUGGCUCCCGGUUUGAGUGCGCUAGGCUCAAAGAUUGGCGAAGAACGUUUGGCACGGUUAAAUUGAAAACCAGCAUUAAAUGCUGACAGUCCAUUUUGUAUCCAUUCCAUUUUUUUUUGUUGGAUCCAUUUUGGUUCGCUUUUGCAUGGGUGCAAUCUGUAGCUAUAGAUGCUGAUGCAGAUCAGCAGAUGGAUGCUUCCAGUUCCAUAUUGGAUGAAUUGUGAUCAAAGUAUUAAUAUAUCCUUAUGGCUUUGUUUCAUGUUUACCUGCUUGGCAAUGAGAAAAGCCAUGCACGGCUUUCUUUAUUUGUUGAGAGAUUGAUCACAUCAAAACCAAGAGAUUGAUCACCUCAAACCGCGCAUGAUUUUUAAUUUAUCAAGUCAGUCAGGAAUUGUGUGGUAGCUUUGUGGGCUGGGAAAGUGGGAAUGCGCCAGAAUUUGAAGAUUGGUUGUGGUCCUGUGGAGUGGACCUGCGCGCAUCGCUAGCUUUGAGUGAUUGGAAAAGGCGGGCGAAUGGAUAAAUAUUGAAUACAUGCAUGCAUGCUAUAAAGUCAUUAGCAAUCAAUGUCAAAUAGUCCUUGCAGAAGACUUGUGGGUUCCUCUCUGAUGUCUUGGACCAUUUCGAUAUGUGUUCUUUGAACAUAAUUGUGUGCUUAUCAUUAAUGGCAUGUAUAAUCUUUCUUUCCUGUCUCUUUUUGUUCUGCGCGCAAGAAUGAUCAACGUCGACAAGUUUGCUUGCGGUUGGUUGUUAGAUGCACGAUUUUGAUUUACUUAUUUAUUUUUGGUAAAUAAAAGUUUGAUUUUAAAGGAGAGGAACAUAGUUCAGGCUAAGGCUCUGUUUGGUAUGAUGUAAAGUAUUUUCCUUAAGAAAAUAUUUUCCAUGGAAGUUAUUUUCUGGGAAAAUAUUCACAUUUUUCAAUAUUUUCUGAUGUUUGGUUGAAAUUUUUAACUACAUUUUUAUUAUCAAAAUUCAACUCCUUCCGCCGCCCGCUUUUCUCUUUCAUCACUGGAAACCGAUCUUCCAAGUUCCUAUCACUAAAAAUAGCAGAACCGCUCAAAAUGGAAGAAUCCAGGUCAAGCAUAAGGACAAUUCAUUGACUCGUAAUUAUUGGCGCCAUAAAAGACAUUACCAAGCUAGACAUAUCAAGACCAUGAAAUGACCGGUGAUUAAGGUCAAUCAAUGAAAGUGAAAGAACAGGCAUAAAUAUCUUCUCAAGUUGAAGAAAUAGGCUCUGUUCUUUUUCGUAUGAUUAGUGCUCUUAUUGACUCGUAUAUGAAAUUUGGUUUAAGGAUCAUAUACCAGCGAUCAAACCACAACCUCAAAGGCAUUAAAACCAAGACAAAUUUGAGCUAAAGAUAUGUAAUUUUGAUUAAGAAAACACUGCAAAGAAAAUUAAAAUGACUGAAGAAAGGCAAUGAGAAUUGAUAAUAAUCCAAAUUGUUAACAAAUUCGUAGUGUUUGCGUCACCGGUAAAUUCAUCAGCAUCAAAGACACGAUGUCAAAGAGAUCGGAGUCAGUAGGGUGAGGCCUUUUUUUUAUUUUGAAUAUACUACAAGCUUUGAAAGUUUAUCAAAUACCUUUAAUAAGCGGGAUGCAUGCAUUUAUAAAAACAAUUUCGGUAAGUCCGGAAGGGAAGUUAUUUUCCACAAGAUAAGCAAAAAUCUUUUACACAGUAAAAUAUUUUCAUUAGUUUUUGUGCAACCAAACACGGAAAAUUAGGAAAAUAUUUUCACUUGAAACAAAUGGACCCGAAAUGAUACUCAUAUACAAUUUUUGUUUAAAACCUUUUUGGAUGAAUCAAUGGGUAUGAAAAGCCGAAUCUGAGGGUUUCAUCAUUAGCUAUUUUGCUAGUUAUUCAACUUGAUUAUCCCUUUAUCCUAAUUUUUUUAUGAAACAAAAUCAAAACAGAAGCAAAAAAAAAUUAGUAAAUAAAUUAAAGGGACACGUAUCUCUCUCACCACCUUCUGUUCCCCUUCCCUUUGUCCCCUCAAAAUCGCCUCAAAGCUAUGUACCUAGUCCGUCUCUAUAUGGGUUAAGCCGGCUUCACUUUAAAUGGAUUUGUGGCCACACAAGUUUCAUUUCAUUCCAUUUCGGAAUAAAAUGAUCUUUUUUAACUUUUGUUAUAGAACCAUAUUUUAAUGCAAUCGGAUCAUAUCUAAUCUUUAAUUAUAUUAUCUUUCCAGCUAAAGGAUAAACUUGUGAGAAAUAGAAUUUGUGAGAGGACUCGUCGUUUAAUUAAAUUUGGCAAGACCAACUUGUGCAGUGAUAUUUGGGAGGAUGAUCCAAGAAAGAGAAUAUAUUAUUAAAGAUAUUUCUAUGAAAGAUACGUUAGGAGAGGCAAGUGUUACCUUUACACAAAAUGAAGUCCCAGAUUUUAAAAAAUUGCUCAGCAAAAACGAACUAAAAUAUUCAUAAACAUGCAAGAUAAUGUAAGUUUGCAGAAAAUUAUAAAGGAAAAGAUGUUUUUUUGUCAGCUUUAAUUGAGAAAAAUAAGAAUAUCAUAUGUAGGAAGAGCUACAAUGCUCGAUUCUAUUAGACAAGCAUUAUUGAUCUAGAAAAUGCUGGACAAGACAUAAAAGUAGGCAUGGGUGCAUUCCGGCUCAAUCUAUCAAAAGGGCCCUCACAGAACAAGGAAAGAAAAAGCAAAAUACCAAUCUGGGCAGCUUGGAUUUAUUGCAAACAGGAUACAAGGCUUACGAUCAAACCAGAGGAGCCAUAAUCAAUACAAUAUUGCAGAAGCUCAACACGAAGCUUCUUUACUCGGUGCAUAAAACUCUCAAAUCAUACUUAAUGCUAUGCUCACAAUUACCCAAACCAAGUUUUAACUUUUAACAGUUUUAUUUUUUUUUUCCUCUUAAGUUAAGGAUUUCCACAAAAUCAAUACUUGACAUAUGCACUAGUGGUGUUGACAUCUUUGGCGAGAGUCAAAAGCACCGGCAUAAGCAAGCACUUCGAAGUGUCUUGCUUGUAGACAAAUCCCUUGCAAUUGCAAUCAUUGGUGCACUUGUCUCUGCAUGCUCCAAAUUCCAUUUCGACUUCUUGACUAUCAGAAGACCACUGGUGGUUCAAGAAGGAUUGCACCCCAUCAAGCUUGAAAUAUUUUGCCUUUGGUUUCUUCCCACACGAGCCCAACUUUGGUGGUUGACAAUUUUCUGUCCAUCCCAAGAGCCCUUUUGGUGUAGGACAUGCCACACACAUCCCAUUUUGGCACAAUCCAAAAUUACCACAUUUUGUCGGCAAAGCACAUGCUGUUGCAAGAUCACUUGGAAAGAAAGUAUAGGUCUGCAUCCAUCUAUCAAAUCUGACUUUGUCAUAGUAAGUAUAAGCCUUGACAUUGCCAUCAGUUUCAAGCCUCAGAAAAGAGUACGUUGCAUUGUAAUUUAUUUUACUGAGUUGUUGAAUCCCAUCAACCUGUGGUUUUGGUGCUGGCGAUUCGAAUAUUUCAAAGAUAAGGUUCCAAGCUAUUGGAGUAGGCUCCCACGUCGAAGGUUGGGUGUUAAACCUUACGGUACUUCCAAAAUUCCCCGGCCAACCAUUGUAGCGAACUUGUUGGCCAGCGUUGUUUAGAUACAAGAGGAGGCCAUCAUCUCCAAGCACUAAGCUGUACUUUCCAUCGGAGCCAUCAACAUCAGAAGUUCGACUGACAAGCUUGUUUACGCCACUCUCGCGAAGGGACUGCCCAACUAGUAACGAAUCAACUGGAUAAUCAAAGCUUUGCCAAAUGAACUUUCCCUUUUUAUCAUACAGCACAAGGUUGCCAUUCUGGAGUAAUUUGAUGCCCGUGACACCCUUGUUAGCCGUGUUGGUUUGCCACACUAGGCUGCCGUCAGAGUCGGCUAGGACCAAGUUUCCAUCCCGGCCGAAAGAAAGGGCGGCGUUUUCUUUCACGGGGUGGUUGCGGUUGGCGUCCCAAACCCAUCGCAUUAGGCCAUUGUCAUCUGGGAUGCCAGCACGAAUGCCAAGCACGAAAGAAGUUGGGGUGGUGUUGUAGAAACACAGUCUGAAGGGGAAUGUGUAGAAAUCAUAGACAUCAUUGGUUAUGAUGCGAUAAGUUGCCCCAUAUUCAGCUGUGGGUACGAAAUUUUGGAAUUCUCCCAGUGGACCUGUGUUGACAAUUUUGAAGGUAUUGUUUGUUGGCACUUGAGCUCUGGUGCUAAUGGCCAAGAAACAGAGGAGGAGGAGGAGAAUGUUAAGACAGGGUGAAAAUGGAAAGAUACGACGAGCCAUUGGAAUUCUUUUUGUGUAAUAAGGAAUAAAUUGGAAAUGGAAUGAGAGAUACCGACAGGGUUGUAACCGUUUGGUAUUUAUAGAUUUUUUUAAGCUCUGCUUUUCACAAGAAGUUUUUU